rnacentral:snoRNA from 1 species
CUGAUCCCAGUGUGCAAUGGCUGCAAACAGCAUCUUCCUUGGUAGUGAAUACAGCCUGUUUCUUGUAUGGGUUGCUCUAAGGGACGUUGGAGACAGGC